rnacentral:rRNA from 1 species
UACGUAGGGCGCAAGCGUUGUCCGGAAUUAUUGGGCGUAAAGAGCUCGUAGGCGGUCUGUCACGUCGGUUGUGAAAACACAAGGCUCAACCUUGUGCCUGCAAUCGAUACGGGCAGACUAGAGUACUGCAGGGGAGACUGGAAUUCCUGGUGUAGCGGUGGAAUGCGCAGAUAUCAGGAGGAACACCGGUGGCGAAGGCGGGUCUCUGGGCAGUAACUGACGCUGGAGGAGCGAAAAGCGUGGGGAGCAAACAGG